rnacentral:rRNA from 1 species
UACAGAGGUCUCAAGCGUUGUUCGGAUUCAUUGGGCGUAAAGGGUGCGUAGGCGGCGCGGUAAGUCGGGUGUGAAAUCUCGGGGCUUAACUCCGAAACUGCAUUCGAUACUGCCGUGCUUGAGGACUGGAGAGGAGACUGGAAUUUACGGUGUAGCGGUGAAAUGCGUAGAUAUCGUAAGGAAGACCAGUGGCGAAGGCGGGUCUCUGGACAGUUUCCUGACGCUGAGGCACGAAGGUCAGGGGAGCAAACGGGG